rfam:Hordeum vulgare subsp. vulgare, WGS project CAJW01000000 data, contig: morex_contig_43377
UAAAUACUCCUUCCGUCCCAAAAUUCUUGUCUAGAUAUGAAUGCAUUUAGAUACUAAAACGUGACUAGAUACAUCCAUAUCUAGACAAAUUCAAGACAAUAAUUUUGGGACGGAGGAAAUAUAAG